AGUGCGCACUCCUCCCAGUGCACUGGCCGGUUGGAGUUUUGCCAGGGAGGCCUUCCCACCUGCCUGUCUCAAUGGAAAGAAUAUGUGGAUUUGGAUUCAGGGACACCUUUAUCACCUAUGUGACUUUAGGAGUCAAUGAAGCAAGUUCAUGAGACUCUGAGGCAAGGACACCAAACCAGGGGUUUUAGCUCCUACCCAUGGUACUGAGCCAGCAAGCGUUCCUGAAGCAUUCAGAAUUGUCUAAUUUCACCAAAUGAAUGAUCCCUGAGGGAUACCAUGGAUCCUGCUGGUCUAGGAUUGGCUCCAGCUUUUUCUGGAUCUGCAUUUGCUGUGCAACCCUGCUCGGGGGCUGAGAGAUGCUCUGGAGCUGUCUAGGCUGCUAAUAUAUCUGACCACACUGGCUCUGCAAGACCAUGGCUGAAGACUGCUUAAAUGUUGUCCCUGAGUCAAUAUCUUAACAUUUAUUGCAUCUUUUAUUUUCUUAACAAAAAUGAAGGCAUUUGUGACUGUGUUGUUUUCCAUCAAAAAUUGGGAAUCAUGCCCUUUCAUACAACACAGUUGUGGUCCAUCUUUUCUUCUGGGGUAGUAGAAAGAUCAAGAUCAUCAGAGAACGUAGGGUGCAAUAUCAGCUCUCCAGUACCAAACACGGUUCAUUAACCUCUCGGAACCUCAGGUGUCUUGGGGCAUAGUUCAUGUCUCCUGGCCCAUCUCACAGGAUUAUCAGGAGGACGAAUGAGAUAAUUCUGGAGGUCAGAAGUCCAAGCUGAGUUUCACUGGCCCAAAUUCAAGAGUACCAGGCCAGAUUUCCAAAUGGGACAACAGGUGGAACUCUCAUUUUGCUCAUGUUCAGGCUGGAGUGCAGUGACACGAUCAUGGCUCGCUGCAGCCUUGACCUCCUGGGCUCAAGCUAUCCUCCCAUGUCAGCCUUCUGAUUAGCUGGGACUAUAGG
rnacentral:lncRNA from 1 species